rnacentral:rRNA from 1 species
CUACGGGUCGCUGCAGUGGGAAUAUUGCGCAAUGGGCGAAAGCCUGACGCAGCGACGCCGCGUGAGUGAUGAAGGCCCUAUGGGUUGUAAAGCUCUGUAAGGAGGGAAGAACCGCCUGGUGUAACGGCCAGGUCUGACGGUACCUCCAAAGUAAGCACCGGCUAAAUAUGUGCCAGCAGCCGCGGUAAUACAUAUGGUGCGAGCGUCGUCCGGAAUAACUGGGCGUAAAGGGUGCGUAGGUUGACUCACAAGUCAGGUGUGAAAUCCCAGGGCUUAACCUUGGAAUGGCGCUUGAAACUGUAAGUCUAGAGCAUGUGAGGGGUUAGCGGACUUCCCGGAGUAGCGGUGAAAUGCGUAGAGAUCGGGAAGAACACCGGUGGCGAAGGCGGCUAACUGGCACAUUGCUGACACUGAGGCACGAAAGCGUGGGGAGCGAACGGGAUUAGAUACCCGGGUAGUC